rnacentral:lncRNA from 1 species
UUUCUUUUUCUUUUUCUUUUUCAUCUUUUAUUUGCAAAUAUUUUCUCUCCAAUUGCUGAAAUUACUUCCAUUUCUCGAAUUAAAAUCAAUCCCGAUCAUGAAUUAUUUUCCAUCGAUUGUUGAAUUUAUCACCGUUAACCUCCGAAUUCUCAUCAAAAGUUUGGUAAGUACUCUAGUUUUAAUUAGUAGAACCCGUAAAUUCUAAAAU